CGUAGGGUGCGAGCGUUAAUCGGAAUUACUGGGCGUAAAGCGUGCGCAGGCGGUUUGUUAAGAUAGGCGUGAAAUCCCCGGGCUCAACCUGGGAACUGCGCUUAUGACUGGCAAGCUAGAGUACGGCAGAGGGGGGUGGAAUUCCACGUGUAGCAGUGAAAUGCGUAGAGAUGUGGAGGAACACCAAUGGCGAAGGCAGCCCCCUGGGUCGAUACUGACGCUCAUGCACGAAAGCGUGGGUAGCAAACAGGAUUAGAUACCCUGGUAGUCCACGCCCUAAACGAUGUCAACUAGGUGUUGGGAGGGUAAAACCUUUUAGUACCGGAGCUAACGCGUGAAGUUGACCGCCUGGGGAGCACGGCCGCAAGGUUA
rnacentral:rRNA from 1 species